GACGAACGCUGGCGGCGCGCCUAACACAUGCAAGUCGAACGGAGCUGUUUUCUCUGAAGUUUUCGGAUGGAAGAGAGUUCAGCUUAGUGGCGAACGGGUGAGUAACACGUGAGCAACCUGCCUUUCAGUGGGGGACAACAUUUGGAAACGAAUGCUAAUACCGCAUAAGACCACAGUGUCGCAUGGCACAGGGGUCAAAGGAUUUAUCCGCUGAAAGAUGGGCUCGCGUCCGAUUAGCUAGAUGGUGAGGUAACGGCCCACCAUGGCGACGAUCGGUAGCCGGACUGAGAGGUUGAACGGCCACAUUGGGACUGAGACACGGCCCAGACUCCUACGGGAGGCAGCAGUGGGGAAUAUUGCACAAUGGGGGAAACCCUGAUGCAGCGACGCCGCGUGGAGGAAGAAGGUCUUCGGAUUGUAAACUCCUGUCCCAGGGGACGAUAAUGACGGUACCCUGGGAGGAAGCACCGG
rnacentral:rRNA from 1 species